rnacentral:rRNA from 1 species
CACGUAGGGGGCAAGCGUUGUCCGGAUUUAUUGGGCGUAAAGAGCUCGUAGGCGGUUUCGUAAGUCGGAUGUGAAAACUCCAGGCUCAACUUGGAGACGCCAUUCGAUACUGCGAUGACUUGAGUCCGGUAGGGGAGUGUGGAAUUCCUGGUGUAGCGGUGAAAUGCGCAGAUAUCAGGAGGAACACCAAUUGCGAAGGCAGCUCGCUGGGACGUUACUGACGCUGAGACGCGAAAGCGUGGGGAGCAAACAGG